GCCUCUGGCGCUGUGGAGUUGAACCAUGAAAAGAAGGUGCCAUCGUAACCUAGGCCCUAGAAUGAGAUGCAUGGAACGAAUCUACAUCCUAGAGCAGGGCAGCCCAACUGAGUCCAGCCUAGAAUGGAAGAACCACAGUUGACCUGAAGGCUUGGGAGAAUAAAUGCUGUUGUAUCGUGAACUUACAGUCCUAUGUAAGUCUAAUGAUGCUACAUCUUAUAAAUAAAGGAAUUAAGUUUAGAGAAAGAGGUGAUCAUCGGAGGUGGACGUGAUCUCUUCAGGUGUCAUAGACAAGAUGAACCAAAACUGGAUCUGGAAUUAUGGCCAAGAUUUGGAAAGGAACAGAAGAGGGCAUCCCGAUUUUGAAAAAACUACUAGAAUAAGCCCCCCAGUACAUAGUUGUAUAUUCUUCGUUGUGGGUCCUUCUAGUUGUGGCAUGUGGGAUGCUGCCUCAGCGUGGUUUGAUGAGCAGUGCCAUGUCCGCGCCCAGGAUUCGAACCAACGAAACACUGGACCGCCUGCAGCGGAGCGCGCGAACUUAACCACUCGGCCACGGGGCCAGCCCCAGGAUCCUGUGUUUUUGAAGACAGAGCUCAGACACAUAUUUUAAAUCUUCUCUUAAGUGCUGAAUUUAAAUAAUAAAAUGCAGUCUCUUUACAUGAAACAGGAAGAAAUGUCACAUGGAAUCAUUAAAAUCAUAAAUUCUCCUAUCUUCUUGUGGAAAAAUUAUGCAGACUCUGACUGAAAAAUAAUGUGGUGACUAAAGCAGAAGAUUAGUGAGAACAUCAUUGCCUUUGAUUGUCCUUCAAUAUCACCUGUGGUUCUAAGGAAGUGGCAGAUCUGAAGAGCUGAAAUGUAAUGUAAUAUGCUGACUCGUUUGCCUGAUGGAUGUGUGACUGCCCUCUGUUGGAUGAAAUUAGAUCUGCUCUUAUAUGUUAGACUGUCUUGCCCUCUAGUGGUUUGUGCAGAAGAUAGUAAUGAAGACAUUGGAGAAUACUGCAUGAAGAAUCAGGGUUAAAAGAAAAGGAGAGUGCUGUAAAAACAAGGCAUGCGUGUUCUAAAGCUUCAGUGGGAAAUUCUCGAAUAAUCUGAAGUGAGGCACUUAGGUUACUACAGGAAAUGGAUGGAAAAGGCCAUUAAGCAUUGCUGUCAUCUAAGUAUCAUUUUCAUAUUACUUGAGAAAUGCAGGUACAAAUUUGCUGAUUUUCAAAUUGCAUUUGGGUUGUGAAACUGUUUCCUUAAUAGUCACUAGACCAUUUGGAUCAUGGCUUCAAUAUGUUUAUAAUUUGGGGGGACACAUGGUUUGGCCCUCAGCUGAAUCCCAGAAAAAAAUCCCUCUAGACUUGAAUCACUUGUCCGUUUUUUCCGUUUUUAUCAGACAGUUGGAACUGGGGUGCAAAAGAAUAGAGGAUUGUGAGGGUGGAGCCAAGAAGGGAGAAUAUCAUCGGGAUGGAAGAGAUGUCAUAGAGACAGCGCUAAUGUCAGACGUGAAGAUUGUGGAAACAUGUGCUUUUUGGACGGGUGUACCAGCCAGAGAACUAUACUCUGACAGUGCUCUAGUCCUGGAGUUCCUGAGCACAUCAUCACUGCAGAGAACAGAACCAAGUGCCUUAUAAAAAACAAGAUCCUCAAUGUGCCACAAAGAAUUGCCCUCAGGUUAGCUGGCAUUGGUUCAUGUCAGCUACAAGGAGAACUGAAAGAUUGGAUUAGAAAAAUGAAAUAAAUUUCUUCCUUUCUUCAACCCAUCAUGAGUUUGACCGAUGUGAGAGACACUGAAAUUUAACAAUGUGUGGUUUCCAGCACAGUGGAUGGACGUAGCUUUGGCAAAAUAUUUGGCUAGCUUUUACCUGGUCCCCGGAACACAUAGUUCCUCUACACUUUCCAGAUCAUUAUGAGCUCUCUGUAAUUUAUUCAGCCCAGCUCUCCUGCACGGAAGGACAUUCUUGUCAGAGGCGCACCUGAAGGGAGUCUCUGAGCAUGAUGGACAUGAGUGAAACCAACACUUUCGCAGGUUUAUAUGUAUUCUACAGAGCCUGGUUUCAAGGGCAACAAGAAAAACAUGAAUUGCCUAAAAGCAUCUCUGACUUACGAUGUUUGAGAGCCAGAGCUUUAUCCACUCAGUCUUAUUUCAGCACUGAAAUGUCUUUAUUUGUGCAGUUUCAAAAACAUAAUUCAUCAUCACUUUUCUUAUGUUGCAG
rnacentral:lncRNA from 1 species